rnacentral:misc_RNA from 1 species
GAUGAAGAACGCAGCGAAAUGCGAUAAGUAAUGUGAAUUGCAGAAUUCAGUGAAUCAUCGAAUCUUUGAACGCACAUUGCGUCCGCCAGUAUUCUGGCGGGCAUGCCUGUUCGAGCGUCAUUACAACCCUCAGGCCCCCGGGCCUGGCGUUGGGGAUCGGCGGAGCCCCCCGUGGGCACACGCCGUCCCCCAAAUACAGUGGCGGUCCCGCCGCAGCUUCCAUCGCGUAGUAGCUAACACCUCGCGACUGGAGAGCGGCGCGGCCACGCCGUAAAACACCCAACUCUUCUGAAGUUGACCUCGAAUCAGGUAGGAAUACCCGCUGAACUUAAGCAUAUCAAUAAGCGGAGGA